rnacentral:lncRNA from 1 species
CUUGAGUAUCUUCCCACUGGGAAGAAACAUGGAGUUUCCUUUUUUCCUCACAAGACGUCUGGUAAAAAUACAGAAGGGGUUUGGAGAUCUGAAGAUGUCUGUGAGGGCAAAUAGGGCUUAAGACCCUAACAAAUCUGUUUCUGGUUUCACACCUGGUAUUUCUUGUUGCUAAAAGCAGUCUUCACAAGUUUGACAUUUAUUCAUACAGGAGAAACUGGCUUCUGGAGGGAUGAAAGAAUAAAUCAAAUCUCCCCAGCUUCAUUCAUGAGGACUCAUGAGCAGAGCAAGGAAUCAGAAAGGCAUCUUCCCAAAUGAGACAGGUCCUAGGAGGAGUCAAAGGUUGUGGUCCAGAGGAGAAGGAGCUCGUGGGCAGCAGGUUCUCCUCAGGCUGAGAGGAAGCUUCUUCCCUUUAAUACUUCUCAGUUGGAUAGCUGGACACAAAUGCCUCACUACCCUGGAAAUGGACCCAAAGGAAUCAGGACAGGUAUCUUUGAUCUCAUCUGGUCUCACUGUUAAACACUCUCUCUUGCAAUGAAAGCAUGAGCUUCUGAUCCUCUCUAAUCCCAAAACAUCCUGUGUGAUUGAGUCUCUUGACUUUCUUCAUCCUACGAGCAAUACCUGAAGUUAUUAAAAAAAAACCCAACAAAACAAAGAAAAAAAACCAACUCAAAACAAAACAACAAAAAAGAAAAAAGGCAACAAAAAGAAAACUAAGAGAGUCUUUACACUGCAGCAAACCUGCUCUUUAUGGGAAAAAAAUCUUGAACUCAGCCAGCUGCAGCAUUCCCUCCUGGGAGCUGAGUGCAGAAAGCAGCAGUAGCCACAGUGCAAACUCAGGCACCUUCCUCUGUGGGUCUCCUGCUCUGUAAAUAUGUGAUGAUAUUUACAGGCAGCAUUAAAGAGGACAAAUAUAGUUAAUGAGGAUUGAACACUAUUUCUGCAAACUACUUAUGUGCUGCUAAGGAUAACAUUCAAGGUUUAAAAAUAAAAAUCAAGGGGAAAGGUUUAUUUUCA